UACGUAGGGUGCAAGCGUUAAUCGGAAUUACUGGGCGUAAAGCGUACGCAGGCGGCUAUGUAAGACAGGUGUGAAAUCCCCGGGCCUAACCUGGGAACUGCAUUUGUGACUGCAUAGCUAGAGUCCGUCAGAGGGGGGUGGAAUUCCACGUGUAGCAGUGAAAUGCGUAGAGAUGUGGAGGAACACCAGUGGCGAAGGCGGCCCGCUGGGCAGUGGCUGACGCUGAGGCGCGACAGCGUGGGGAGCAAACAGG
rnacentral:rRNA from 1 species